rnacentral:rRNA from 1 species
GAUGAACGCUGGCGGCGUGCCUAAUACAUGCAAGUCGAGCGAACGGACGAGAAGCUUGCUUCUCUGAUGUUAGCGGCGGACGGGUGAGUAACACGUGGAUAACCUACCUAUAAGACUGGGAUAACUUCGGGAAACCGUAGCUAAUACCGGAUAAUAUUUUGAACCGCAUGGUUCAAUAGUGAAAGACGGUCUUGCUGUCACUUAUAGAUGGAUCCGCGCUGCAUUAGCUAGUUGGUAAGGUAACGGCUUACCAAGGCAACGAUGCGUAGCCGACCUGAGAGGGUGAUCGGCCACACUGGAACUGAGACACGGUCCAGACUCCUACGGGAGGCAGCAGUAGGGAAUCUUCCGCAAUGGGCGAAAGCCUGACGGAGCAACGCCGCGUGAGUGAUGAAGGUCUUCGGAUCGUAAAACUCUGUUAUUAGGGAAGAACAUAUGUGUAAGUAACUGUGCACAUCUUGACGGUACCUAAUCAGAAAGCCACGGCUAACUACGUG